CCUACGGGAGGCAGCAGUGGGGAAUCUUGCGCAAUGGGCGAAAGCCUGACGCAGCAACGCCGCGUGCGGGAAGAAGGCUUUCGGGCUGUAAACCGCUUUCAGCAGGAACGAAAAUGACGGUACCUGCAGAAGAAGGAGCGGCCAACUAUGUGCCAGCAGCCGCGGUGAUACAUAGGCUUCAAGCGUUGUCCGGAUUUAUUGGGCGUAAAGAGUUCGUAGGCGGUCGAGUAAGUCGGGUGUGAAAAUUCUGGGCUCAACCCAGAGACGCCACCCGAUACUGCUUGACUUGAGUUCGAUAGGGGAGUGGGGAAUUCCUAGUGUAGCGGUGAAAUGCGCAGAUAUUAGGAGGAACACCGGUGGCGAAGGCGCCACUCUGGAUCGAUACUGACGCUGAGGAACGAAAGCAUGGGUAGCAAACAGGAUUAGAUACCCUGGUAGUCCAUGCCGUAAACGGUGGGCACUAGGUGUGGGUUUCUAUUAACGAAAUCCGCGCCGUCGCUAACGCAUUAAGUGCCCCGCCUGGGGAGUACGGUCGCAAAGCUAAAACUCAAAGAGUAAGUACGACGUUGNGAGAGNGACGACGACGACGAGGAGGAGAG
rnacentral:rRNA from 1 species